GAUUCUCGAUCGAUCGAGCGGUUUUGUCGAGUUUCUAGGUUUUGCGAGCUUGAUUUUGAGUCGUGUCUAGCGAAUCGGAUGGAUGCUCUACAUAGGUACCGAGCUUCAAUACGAUAGGACUCGGAAUCGCGUCACGGGGACUUCUGAAGAAAAGUCUGUGAGAAAUGGUCCAUUGUGGCGACGGUCUAUCCCUUAUCUCCGCUUUGUACUUUUGGGAUCACCAUUUCAAAGCGUGCUUGGAAAAAAGAACCAAAGUUUGCGGUUCUCCUCGAUCAAGAAUCUCGUGUCCAAUCAUCGAGGACUUUAGUGAGUGGCUGCAUUACCAGGAUCUAGAAGAUAAUGGUACACAGGCUUUCCCAUUUUUCUGCCAGGAAAUCCGAAGAAAUCCGUGACCAGGUCUGUUUAAUCCGUUUUUAUCUGCUGCUAUCGUUUUCUUUUUCGUCUUGCAGGACGCACGGAUUUUAAUUUUUUUGGGAACAGUAGAUUUGCAAUCCAAUAUCUAAGAUUGCUGUGAAAACCACUGAGAACAGUGCAUACCAAAUGUAACUCGUGCUCUUGGAAAGGAGCUGUCGCAAAGAGGAUCUAGACGGCCUUGUACGCUCGACUCGUCCACCACACACGGAACGCUUUUCUUCGAUCACAAAAGAAUGUUCUUCAAAUACAAUAGAACUUACUUAAACAUGGCAUUUU